GAUGAACGCUGGCGGCGUGCCUAAUACAUGCAAGUCGAGCGAACGGACGAGAAGCUUGCUUCUCUGAUGUUAGCGGCGGACGGGUGAGUAACACGUGGAUAACCUACCUAUAAGACCGGGAUAACUUCGGGAAACCGGAGCUAAUACCGGAUAAUAUUUUGAACCGCAUGGUUCAAAAGUGAAAGACGGUCUUGCUGUCACUUAUAGAUGGAUCCGCGCUGCAUUAGCUAGUUGGUAAGGUAACGGCUUACCAAGGCAACGAUGCAUAGCCGACCUGAGAGGGUGAUCGGCCACACUGGAACUGAGACACGGUCCAGACUCCUACGGGAGGCAGCAGUAGGGAACCUUCCGCAAUGGGCGAAAGCCUGACGGAGCAACGCCGCGUGAGUGAUGAAGGUCUUCGGAUCGUAAAACUCUGUUAUUAGGGAAGAACAUAUGUGUAAGUAACUGUGCACAUCUUGACGGUACCUAAUCAGAAAGCCACGGCUAACUACGUG
rnacentral:rRNA from 1 species